UUGCUUUGGCAGCACAAAUACUUAACUUGGAACUAUACAGAGAAGAUAAGCAUGACUUCUACACAACAAUGACACACAAAUGUGUGAAGAAUAGAACUGAUUG